rnacentral:misc_RNA from 1 species
UCCAAAUUGUGGGAAACAAUGUGGGAUUCCUCCGCUGAUAGGCUUCUUGCCAUUGAACGCCGCAUCCGGUCUAACGAAGAGGAGAUCUUUGCCAUUGGGGACCUUCCAUGACGUAAUGCAACCACCAAACAGGUAAAUUUCAGCCUCACUGCCAUGAACUGAGCUCAACGAGACCUUCGGAAGCCCUCCGUUCCCUUCCACAAGCUUCACCCCGGGAGCAGCAGUCUUCAGAUCCAAACUGGCCAUGGUGACUCCGACAGACCUGAAUUGGCGCCGGG